rnacentral:rRNA from 1 species
UACGUAGGGUGCAAGCGUUGUCCGGAAUUAUUGGGCGUAAAGAGCUCGUAGGCGGUUUGUCGCGUCGAAUGUGAAAACCCGGGGCUCAACCCCGGGCCUGCAUUCGAUACGGGCAGACUAGAGUUCGGUAGGGGAGUCUGGAAUUCCUGGUGUAGCGGUGAAAUGCGCAGAUAUCAGGAGGAACACCGGUGGCGAAGGCGGCCUACUGGGCUGCACCUGACGCUGAGCCGCGAAAGCCAGGGGAGCGAACGGG